GCCAUGCCGCGUGUGUGAAGAAGGCCUUAUGGUUGUAAAGCACUUUAAGCGAGGAGGAGGCUACUUUAGUUAAUACCUAGAGAUAGUGGACGUUACUCGCAGAAUAAGCACCGGCUAACUCUGUGCCAGCAGCCGCGGUAAUACAGAGGGUGCGAGCGUUAAUCGGAUUUACUGGGCGUAAAGCGUGCGUAGGCGGYUUAUUAAGUCGGAUGUGAAAUCCCCGAGCUUAACUUGGGAAUUGCAUUCGAUACUGGUGAGCUAGAGUAUGGAAGAGGAUGGUAGAAUUCCAGGUGUAGCGGUGAAAUGCGA
rnacentral:rRNA from 1 species